AUUGAACGCUGGCGGCAGGCCUAACACAUGCAAGUCGAACGAGUGGCGGACGGGUGAGUAAUGUCUGGGAACCUGCCCGAUGGCGGGGGCUCACUACUGGAAAAGGUAGCUAAUCCCGCAUCCCAUCGGCUGUGCCCAGAUUGGGUUAGCUAGUAGGUGGGGUAACGGCUCACCGAGGCGACGCUCCCUAGCUGGUCUGAGAGGAUGACCAGCCACACUGGAACUGAGACACGGUCCAGACUCCUAGGGGAGGCAGCAGUGGGGAAUAUUGGACAAUGGGCGCAAGCCUGAUGCAGCCAUGCCGCGUGGAUGAAGAAGGCCUUCGGGUUGUAAAGUACUUUCAGCGAGGAGGCGUUACUCGCAGAAGAAGCACCGGCUAACUCCGUGCCAGCAGCCGCGGUAAUAC
rnacentral:rRNA from 1 species